UGGGGAAUUUUGGACAAUGGGGGCAACCCUGAUCCAGCAAUGCCGCGUGAGUGAAGAAGGCCUUCGGGUUGUAAAGCUCUUUUGUCAGGGAAGAAACGGUAGUAGCGAAUAACUAUUACUAAUGACGGUACCUGAAGAAUAAGCACCGGCUAACUACGUGCCAGCAGCCGCGGUAAUACGUAGGGUGCAAGCGUUAAUCGGAAUUACUGGGCGUAAAGCGUGCGCAGGCGGUUGUGUAAGUCAGAUGUGAAAUCCCCGGGCUCAACCUGGGAAUUGCAUUUGAGACUGCACGGCUAGAGUGUGUCAGAGGGGGGUAGAAUUCCACGUGUAGCAGUGAAAUGCGUAGAUAUGUGGAGGAAUACCGAUGGCGAAGGCAGCCCCCUGGGAUAACACUGACGCUCAUGCACGAAAGCGUGGGGAGCAAACAGGAUUAGAUACCCUCGUAGUCCCUGAGCGGGCUGGCAAGGCGCAU
rnacentral:rRNA from 1 species